UGUGUUAAAGCUUGCGGAAGAAUAUCUCAAAAACGUUUUACGACACUCCCGGUAAGGACCGGUAACUCUGUAUUUUUUUGCGGGAAAAUAUGAAUGGCUUCUCAUAUCUAAUCUUUCAGAAAAAUCGAUUUCUUACAAAAGAGUGUCCACCAUGCACUUACACUGCACUAUUAAAAGCAUAGUAGAAUAUAUUGAUAUACAAAUGGAUGAAAUAUAAAAAAAAAGAAGAUGUGCAUGGUAUGAUUGCCAAUGAGACAACUAUCCACAAAAGACCAAAAUGACACAAACAUUAACAACUAUAGGUCACCGUAAGGCCUUCAACAAUGAGCAAAGCCCAUACCGCGUAGUCAGCUAUAAAAGGCCCCGAUAAGACAAUGUAAAACAAUUCAAACGAGAAAACUAACGGCCUUAUUUAUGUUUAAAAAAUGAACGAAAAACAAAUUUGUAACACUUGAACAAACGACAACCACUGAAUUACAGGCUCCUGACUUGGGACAGGCAUAUACAUAAAUAAUGUGGAAAUUAUAUAUACAGCCCUUGGAUGGUGUAAACUUUCCAAAAAAAAUUGUAUAGUGUACUGGUGUAAUGGUGUAAUGGUGUAAUGGUGCUGUGGUGUAUGGUGUAAGGGGAAUGGUGUAAUGGUGUUUGAGGAAUGGUGUGAUUGUGUAACGUGCGAUCGGGAAUGGUGUGAAUGAUGGUGUACGACAUCUCAUUGGUUGAAACGAAUUUCUUUUUAUUUUAUUUUUUCGAAUUGUAAACAUAAACAAUAAUAAUAAUCUUAAUAUUUGAAAUUUAAUUGCAUUAUGGGUAAUUUCGGAUCGUGUAGAUAGAAUGGGGAAUGGUGCAUGGUGUAAUGUGAAAGGUGUAUGGUGCAAA
rnacentral:lncRNA from 1 species